AGAAGGAAAUGAAUAGUGGAAUAAAGUCAUAAUUUUUAUUUAUUUUUUGCGCACAAAAAGUAUUCUCGUGGCUUGAUAAACUUAAGAUUGAGCCACUGUAGUCACUUGGUCUAUAUUAACGAUCUCUUUAAUAACUUUUCUGGGCCUACAAGUUUCAGUCCCUUGGAAGCGUAUGGAGGAGUGAUCCAGCUCUCAGAUUUCAUCAAAAAUAUCUUAAUUUGUGUUCCGAAGAUGAACGAAGGUCUUACGGGUUUGGAACAACAUGAGGGGCGUGGAGUUUUCACCACUGGAGCUUUUUUCAGAGGUGAUUUUGUUCUUGAAUACAGAGGUGAACUUCUGAGUUCACAGGAGAGUCUGGACCGAACUGAACACUACACUGAAGCUGAGAACACGUUCCUGUUUGAUUUUCAGUGGCAUGGCAAAAAUUGGUGCAUGGAUGCAUCUAAAGAAGAC